rnacentral:rRNA from 1 species
UACAGAGGGGGCAAGCGUUAUUCGGAAUUAUUGGGCGUAAAGGGCGCGUAGGCGGCUUUUCAAGUGACGGGGUGAAAUCCCUCGGCUUAACCGAGGAACUGCCUGUCAGACUGGAAGGCUUGAGACCGGGAGAGGUGAGUGGAAUUCCCAGUGUAGCGGUGAAAUGCGUAGAUAUUGGGAGGAACACCAGUGGCGAAGGCGGCUCACUGGACCGGAACUGACGCUGAGGCGCGAAAGCGUGGGUAGCAAACAGG